CUGUGCAGAAACUUUUUAUUUUAAGGUAGUCCCAUUUUUCUAGUCUCUCCAAUUUGUUGUGACCCUGGGACACUGUUCAGGAAGUUCCAGCUUGUGCUUGUAAGUUCAAGUGUGUCUCCUACUGUGUUCUGCAGUAGUUUCAGAGAUUCAGGUUUGAUGUGAAGGUCUUCAGUCCAUUUUGUGUUGAUGCUAGUGCAUGGAGACAGGUUGGGGUCCACUUUUAGUUUUCUGCAUGUGGCCACCCAGUUUUCCUAGCACCAAUACUGGAAGAGGCUAUGUU